GACAGAUGAGGCGAGCGUUAUCCGGAGAUAUUCGGCGUAAAGGGUACGUAGGCGGCUGGUCAAGUCUGGGGUUAAAGACCACAGCUUAACUGUGGGGGGGCCUUGGAAACUGACCGGCUGGAGUGGGGCAGGGGUUGCGGGAAUUCCCGGUGUAGCGGUGAAAUGCGUAGAUAUCGGGAAGAACACCUGAGGCGAAAGCGCGCAACUGGGGCCUAACUGACGCUGAGGUACGAAAGCUAGGGGAGCGAAUGGG
rnacentral:rRNA from 1 species